rnacentral:rRNA from 1 species
UACGUAGGGAACCGAGCGUUGUCCGGAAUCAUUGGGCGUAAAGAGCGUGUAGGCGGCCACUUAAGUCCUGCGUGAAAUCCUGCGGCUCAACCGCAGGCGGUCGUGGGAAACUGGGUGGCUAGAGUGCGGGAGAGGAGAGUGGAAUUCCUGGUGUAGCGGUGGAAUGCGCAGAUAUCGGGAAGAACACCCGUGGCGAAGGCGGCUACUCGUGGGACGGUACUGACGCUGAGACGCGAAAGCGUGGGGAGCGAACAGG